rnacentral:rRNA from 1 species
UACGGAGGGUGCAAGCGUUGUCCGGAUUUAUUGGGUUUAAAGGGUGCGUAGGCGGCCCGGUAAGUCAGUGGUGAAAGCCUCCAGCUCAACUGUUGAACUGCCAUGGAUACUGUUAGGCUUGAGUACAGACGAGGUAGGCGGAAUGGAUAGUGUAGCGGUGAAAUGCAUAGAUACUAUCCAGAACUCCGAUUGCGUAGGCAGCUUACUAGGCUGUAACUGACGCUGAGGCACGAAAGCGUGGGGAGCGAACAGG